rnacentral:RNase_P_RNA from 1 species
UUUGACAAACGCUGCAUUCUUGUAAUGUAGAGGAAAGUCCAUGCUCGCAUAGUCUGUGAUGACUAUAGUGUUCGUGCAUAGGGAAAAAAUAACCUAUGGUAAGGAAACUUAACGGCUUUGAAAUAACCUAAGUCAUUGAUAUGGUUAAAGUAAAUAUAAAAGUGCCAUAGUGACGAAGAAAUUGGAAACAAUGGAGAUGGAACGCGGUAAACCCCACGAGCGAGAAACCCAAAUUAUGGUAGGGGAACCUAUUAAAAGAGAAAUAAGAAUCUUUUAAAGGACCUGUAAUACAGGUAGAUAAAUGUUUGUCACCUAGAAAUAGGAACAGAACAUGGCUUAUAA